rnacentral:rRNA from 2 species
AAGAGGACAACAGUUGGAAACGACUGCUAAUACUCUAUACUCCUGCUUAACACAAGUUGAGUAGGGAAAGUUUUUCGGUGUAGGAUGAGACUAUAUAGUAUCAGCUAGUUGGUAAGGUAAUGGCUUACCAAGGCUAUGACGCUUAACUGGUCUGAGAGGAUGAUCAGUCACACUGGAACUGAGACACGGUCCAGACUCCUACGGGAGGCAGCAGUAGGGAAUAUUGCGCAAUGGGGGAAACCCUGACGCAGCAACGCCGCGUGGAGGAUGACACUUUUCGGAGCGUAAACUCCUUUUCUUAGGGAAGAAUUCUGACGGUACCUAAGGAAUAAGCACCGGCUAACUCCGUGCCAGCAGCCGCGGUAAUACGGAGGGUGCAAGCGUUACUCGGAAUCACUGGGCGUAAAGGGCGCGUAGGCGGAUUAUCAAGUCUCUUGUGAAAUCUAAUGGCUUAACCAUUAAACUGCUUGGGAAACUGAUAGUCUAGAGUGAGGGAGAGGCAGAUGGAAUUGGUGGUGUAGGGGUAAAAUCCGUAGAUAUCACCAAGAAUACCCAUUGCGAAGGCGAUCUGCUGGAACUCAACUGACGCUAAGGCGCGAAAGCGUGGGGAGCAAACAGGAUUAGAUACCCUGGUAGUCCACGCCCUAAACGAUGUACACUAGUUGUUGGGGUGCUAGUCAUCUCAGUAAUGCAGCUAACGCAUUAAGUGUACCGCCUGGGGAGUACGGUCGCAAGAUUAAAACUCAAAGGAAUAGACGGGGACCCGCACAAGCGGUGGAGCAUGUGGUUUAAUUCGAAGAUACGCGAAGAACCUUACCUGGGCUUGAUAUCCUAAGAACCUUUUAGAGAUAAGAGGGUGCUAGCUUGCUAGAACUUAGAGACAGGUGCUGCACGGCUGUCGUCAGCUCGUGUCGUGAGAUGUUGGGUUAAGUCCCGCAACGAGCGCAACCCACGUAUUUAGUUGCUAACGGUUCGGCCGAGCACUCUAAAUAGACUGCCUUCGUAAGGAGGAGGAAGGUGUGGACGACGUCAAGUCAUCAUGGCCCUUAUGCCCAGGGCGACACACGUGCUACAAUGGCAUAUACAAUGAGACGCAAUACCGCGAGGUGGAGCAAAUCUAUAAAAUAUGUCCCAGUUCGGAUUGUUCUCUGCAACUCGAGAGCAUGAAGCCGGAAUCGCUAGUAAUCGUAGAUCAGCCAUGCUACGGUGAAUACGUUCCCGGGUCUUGUACUCACCGCCCGUCACACCAUGGGAGUUGAUUUCACUCGAAGCCGGAAUACUAAACUAGUUACCGUCCACAGUGGAAUCAGCGACUGGGGUGAAGUCGUAACAAGGUAACCGUAGGAGAACCUGCGGUUGGAUCACCUCCUUUCUA